CAAUAGCGUAUAUUAAAGUUGUUGCAGUUAAAAAGCUCGUAGUUGAACUUCAGACCUGGCUGGGCGGUCCGCCUAACGGUGUGUACUGUCUGGCUGGGUCUUACCUCUUGGUGAGCCGGCAUGCCCUUCACUGGGUGUGUCGGGGAACCAGGACUUUUACCUUGAGAAAAUUAGAGUGUUCAAAGCAGGCCUGCGCCUGAAUACAUUAGCAUGGAAUAAUAAAAUAGGACGUGCGGUUCUAUUUUGUUGGUUUCUAGAGUCGCCGUAAUGAUUAAUAGGGAUAGUUGGGGGCAUUAGUAUUCCGUUGCUAGAGGUGAAAUUCUUGGAUUUACGGAAGACUAACUACUGCGAANGNAUUUGCNAAGGAUGUUUNCAUUA
rnacentral:rRNA from 1 species